rnacentral:rRNA from 1 species
ACGGGUGAGUAUACAUCGGAACGUACCCAUGUAGCGGGGGAUAAUCCUCUCGAAAGACGAGGCUAAUACCGACAUACGACCUACGGGGUGCAAAGAGGGGGAUCGCCAAGACCAUCUCACGUAUUGGAGCGGCCUGAUGUCUGGAUUAGCUAGUUGGCGGGGUAAAAGCCCACCAAGGCGACGAUCCGUAGCUGGUCUGAGAGGACGACCAGACACACUGGAACUGAGACACGGUCCAGACUCCUACGGGAGGCAGCAGUGGGGAAUUUUGGACAAUGGGCGCAAGCCUGAUCCAGCCAUGCCGCGUGGGUGAAGAAGGCCUUCGGGUUGUAAAGCCCUUUCGGCUGGGACGAAAAGGUCCGUGUAUAACAACACGGAUCCAUGACGGUACCAGGCAGAAGAAGCACCGGCUACUACGUGCCAGCA